UGCGGGGUGGUGUAACGGUAACACGUCGGACUUUGGAUCCGAAGUUCCAGGUUCGAAUCCUGGCCCCGCAGCCA
rnacentral:tRNA from 1 species